AGAGUUUGAUCCUGGCUCAGGACGAACGCUGGCGGCGUGCCUAAUACAUGCAAGUAGAACGCUGAAGACUUUAGCUUGCUAAAGUUGGAAGAGUUGCGAACGGGUGAGUAACGCGUAGGUAACCUGCCUACUAGCGGGGGAUAACUAUUGGAAACGAUAGCUAAUACCGCAUAACAGCAUUUAACACAUGUUAGAUGCUUGAAAGGAGCAAUUGCUUCACUAGUAGAUGGACCUGCGUUGUAUUAGCUAGUUGGUGAGGUAACGGCUCACCAAGGCGACGAUACAUAGCCGACCUGAGAGGGUGAUCGGCCACACUGGGACUGAGACACGGCCCAGACUCCUACGGGAGGCAGCAGUAGGGAAUCUUCGGCAAUGGGGGCAACCCUGACCGAGCAACGCCGCGUGAGUGAAGAAGGUUUUCGGAUCGUAAAGCUCUGUUGUAAGAGAAGAACGUGUGUGAGAGUGGAAAGUUCACACAGUGACGGUAACUUACCAGAAAGGGACGGCUAACUACGUGCCAGCAGCCGCGGUAAUACGUAGGUCCCGAGCGUUGUCCGGAUUUAUUGGGCGUAAAGCGAGCGCAGGCGGUUUAAUAAGUCUGAAGUUAAAGGCAGUGGCUUAACCAUUGUUCGCUUUGGAAACUGUUAGACUUGAGUGCAGAAGGGGAGAGUGGAAUUCCAUGUGUAGCGGUGAAAUGCGUAGAUAUAUGGAGGAACACCGGUGGCGAAAGCGGCUCUCUGGUCUGUAACUGACGCUGAGGCUCGAAAGCGUGGGGAGCAAACAGGAUUAGAUACCCUGGUAGUCCACGCCGUAAACGAUGAGUGCUAGGUGUUAGGCCCUUUCCGGGGCUUAGUGCCGCAGCUAACGCAUUAAGCACUCCGCCUGGGGAGUACGACCGCAAGGUUGAAACUCAAAGGAAUUGACGGGGGCCCGCACAAGCGGUGGAGCAUGUGGUUUAA
rnacentral:rRNA from 1 species